GCCAUACUAGACUGUGCUUCGUAAAUAUGUUUCCAGUCCCUGCUGGACCACAAGGAAUCUCAGUCUAUGACUUCCUAUUUUAAAUCACUGUUAAGGUAGUGUGCCAGCGCCGCGGUGCUGUCCUGCUGAGCCUGGUUACAAAGAAACCCCAUUUAGAUCUCAACAAGCCUCUGUCUCAACAGCAAGUAAGAACGUUCAGUGGUGCUUAGUGCUUGAUGUAGGUUGUAUCAAAUGCCUGCAAUUUUAUGUGUCAGUAGGUAAAUCCAAAGCCUCUUAUUAUGAGAAGGGAUAAUGGCAUACAAUGUGUUAGAAAACAGGAGGCGUGCUGUUAAGAUCCCGAAGGCACUGGGAAUGCCACGUCCCGUGAAGGCCCCCUUAGUCACGGGUGAAGGGAUCUGCCCGCGCUCUAGCACACGAGCAGGAAAUGAGGAAGCAGCGAGGGCAGCUCAGGGUCUGGUUCUCAUCUUCUCCCUGCGAGAUUCAUAAAGAAAUAACCUCAUGAAUUUCUGACAAUAUAUUCUUGAGCUACGACUUGACAAGAAGAGGUGUUUCCAGAGUGCUUGGGUUGGAGUGCUUUUUAAAAUUGCAUGCAGUGUAAGUUAAAUAAGGUAAGCUAAAUAACAAAUAUGUGCUCAUAAAGCAUCUUUUUUUUUUUUUCAUUAAAAAUGUAUUUCAUUGAAAAUGCAUUUAAAUCCUACGUAACCCAUUUUCUCAAGUCUACAGAAUGUAGGCUAGCAUUUUCAGCCUGCUUUCCGCACAUGCUUGAAACAAACCACCUUUGCAACAACUUGCCGUGCAUCUCUUUAAACAGACCCCGGUGGGAUCCACGGGCACCGGCUGUCCCCAGCAGCGCUCGCAGCGGGUCGAGACGCGUGGACGCGCUGCGGGGCGCUGGGGGGCUGCGUUCUGCUGCCGCCGCCCUCCCGCGAGCUCUGCCGUGGCGUUGCGUGGAGGGAGGACUAAACCACAAAGGUUUUCAUCAGAAGUUGCCUAAACAGGUUACUAAGAAACAUUCCAAAGAGAAAGUUUGUAUUACUGACUCUCAUCAAGCUAGAACGUCUCUUCUUGUCAGAAGAAUUUCAAAGUAUAAUUAGGACAAAACUGUGCUGAACUUCUUUUUCUAGUGUCAU
rnacentral:lncRNA from 1 species